UUGUUUUUUCUUUUAAAUGCUUUUCUAAUAUUUUUGUUUAUAGUCGGCGUAUAUUUUUUCUAAAGUUAAAACUAUAGUUUAUAAAAAGACUAUAGAGUAUAGACCUGAAUAGGUUUGCACAACCUCUUGUAGAAAAUAUAGAAUAGACCGUCUAACUAAAAAAAAAUCAACCUUAUUUCUUGUCAGGGCCGGCCCAGGUACUGGGCGGCUUGGGCAAUGGCCCAGGGCAUCAGGUUAUUGGUGGCAUAAGUAUGAGCCCGUAUAGGUAUAUCAGUGUAUAUGAAGAAAUUCUGGCCCAUUUUCUUCAAUCAGAUCUACAUCACCCUAUUCAGCUGGAGAGGAGUUAUGACAGCAAAAAAAAUAAUAAUGAUAAUAAUUGGGCGCGUGCGGUAGAACAGAAGUCGAAGAGGCAAGUCAGAAAUUUCAACACAGGUUGUUAUAAUGAAGAUUUUAGAGUUAAGUUAGAGGUUAUCUUCCUAUCUUCAGUUAUUAUGGGAUUGGGCAAAACUAAGUUCAAAUUUGUAUUCCGACUUUUAGAGACAAUGGUUACUUUUUAUCGCAAAAACACAUUUGGAUUCGAGUGAAAAUAUUCGAUGCCCUGUUUGAAUACAUUAGCUUGGCUGUAGCACAAAAAGUUAAAUUUAUAUUUGUUUGGUCA